UCCCUGGUGGUCCAGUGGUUAAGACCCUGCACUUUCAAUGCAGAAGGCAUGGGUUCGAUCCCUGAUGAGGGAA
rnacentral:tRNA from 1 species